UAACGCAUUGUCUGAGGAAGCAUUUACAGGUAGCGAAGGAGUCAGAUGUCACUGGAACAUGUUGCUUCUUAUUUCUGUGGUGAGGCUGAGCGAAAGGAAGUAAUCCAUGAAAGACACCCAGCACUGUGACACAGAAGCUUCAUGGUCAAGAAAAUGUGACUCCUUCUCAUCCUAAAAGAAGAUAAAAUCACCUGCAUUGAGGGAAGUCCUGUGAUUCUGCAUCUGUAAGCCAUAUUAUCCAUAUUGACUGCCUGCACUGAUUACAGACACUGAUGCAACUCCAGUGAAAUGGGACAUCCUUCUCAAUGAUAAAGAAUUUUUUUAGACCAAGCUUUUUGAACACCCAUAUGUUGUCUGAGUAUUGAAAGCUUUGGAUGAGGUCAAUGGGUUUACAAA